rnacentral:rRNA from 1 species
ACUGAAGGUAAUACCGGGCGGCGCAGCGGAAUCGCAUGGUUCUGCUGCCAAAGGUCCGCCGCCGGGGGAGGGGCUCACGUGAUAUUAGCUUGUUGGCGGGGUAACGGCCCACCAAGGCAAAGAUGUCUAGCAGGUGUGAGAGCACGACCUGCGCCACUGGCACUGAGACACUGGCCAGACACCUACGGGUGGCUGCAGUCGAGGAUCUUCGGCAAUGGGCGCAAGCCUGACCGAGCGACGCCGCGUGUGCGAUGAAGGCCUUCGGGUUGUAAAGCACUGUCGAGGGGGAGGAAGCCGCAAGGUUGACCUAUCCCUGGAGGAAGCACGGGCUAAGUUCGUGCCAGCAGCCGCGGUAAGACGAACCGUGCGAACGUUGUUCGGAAUCACUGGGCUUAAAGGGCGCGUAGGCGGGCCACCAAGUCCGGGGUGAAAUCCUUCGGCUUAACCGGAGAAUUGCCUGGGAUACUGGUG